AGAGUUUGAUCCUGGCUCAGGAUGAACGCUGGCGGCGUGCUUAACACAUGCAAGUCGAACGGGAUCCCUGGCGCUUGCGCCGGGGUGAGAGUGGCGAACGGGUGAGUAAUGCGUGACCAACCUGCCCCAUGCACCGGAAUAGCUCCUGGAAACGGGUGGUAAUGCCGGAUGCUCCAGAUGACCGCAUGGGAUUCUGGGAAAGCUUUUGCGGCAUGGGAUGGGGUCGCGUCCUAUCAGCUUGUUGGUGGGGUGAUGGCCCACCAAGGCUUCGACGGGUAGCCGGCCUGAGAGGGCGACCGGCCACAUUGGGACUGAGAUACGGCCCAGACUCCUACGGGAGGCAGCAGUGGGGAAUAUUGCGCAAUGGGCGAAAGCCUGACGCAGCGACGCCGCGUGCGGGAUGGAGGCCUUCGGGUUGUAAACCGCUUUUAUCGGGGAGCAAGCGAGAGUGAGUGUACCCGUUGAAUAAGCACCGGCUAACUACGUGCCAGCAGCCGCGGUAAUACGUAGGGUGCAAGCGUUAUCCGGAAUUAUUGGGCGUAAAGGGCUCGUAGGCGGUUCGUCGCGUCUGGUGUGAAAGUCCAUCGCUUAACGGUGGAUCUGCGCCGGGUACGGGCGGGCUGGAGUGCGGUAGGGGAGACUGGAAUUCCCGGUGUAACGGUGGAAUGUGUAGAUAUCGGGAAGAACACCAAUGGC
rnacentral:rRNA from 1 species